rnacentral:misc_RNA from 1 species
GAUGAAGAACGUAGCGAAAUGCGAUAAGUAAUGUGAAUUGCAGAAUUCAGUGAAUCAUCGAAUCUUUGAACGCACAUUGCGCCCGCCAGUAUUCUGGUGGGCAUGCCUGUUCGAGCGUCAUUACAACCCUCAGGCCCCCGGGCCUGGCGUUGGGGAUCGGCGGAAGCCCCCUGUGGGCACACGCCGUCCCUCAAAUACAGUGGCGGUCCCGCCGCAGCUUCCAUUGCGUAGUAGCUAACACCUCGCAACUGGAGAGCGGCGCGGCCAUGCCGUAAAACACCCAACUUCUGAAUGUUGACCUCGAAUCAGGUAGGAAUACCCGCUGAACUUAAGCAUAUCAAUAAGCGGAGGA